rnacentral:lncRNA from 13 species
UGUAAUAGGAAAAACAGUUGACAUGGUAAAUUGCAAAUGUCAGCACCUUUACAUAGGAUAAUGCAAUUGUUUUUCUGUCUUACAAGAUCCUCAAACUUAAUUCUUUUUAUAUAUUUUCAGGUAAAAUAAUAUAAUAUCCCAGCACUUUGGGAGGCCUAGGCGGGUGGAUCACGAGGCCAAGAGAUCAAGACCAUCCUGAUCAACAAGUAUGACAUAAUACGCGAAGUGCCACACAAACACACUGGAAUUAACUGUGAAACCUGAAAAUAAUUCUGCUUUUCUACCUGAAGCUCAGCUUUUCCAGGGAGACAGCCUGCAGUGGCUUAAAGAACACAGCAUUGUUUUGAUUCUGGACUCCAGCUCACAUGGUCCACCUAAAGUUCAAUGAUUAUGGAUUUUUUCAACACUAGGUAAACUUUGAGUGGGAACCCAAGGAACAGCAAUUACUUUGGAAUUGAUUCUGCCAUUUAAGUGGCUUCUCACUUCAGGGAAACAAAGGUUUUCUCUUCUGGCCCUCAGAUCCUGGGAUAAUUGGGUAUCAAAAUUUCUUGGAAUGAACUUAAGAGAUGAAGCUGACGGACACAGGACGAUCGGCCUUGUGCAAGCAUCUUGUCAUUGUCACUCCACAGUGCUCUUGCAGUGGGCUCUAAAUCACAAGUGUAGGCAACAUCUAAGAAGGAUUCAUCUACAUUAAGAAUAUAGUCUCAGAUUGCCUCAGUAGAGGAAAACAAAUAAUCUGAAGAAAUCAAGGAUGCUCUUAUGCCACAAUCAAAAUAAACCAAUCUAAAAUUGGUAAGGAAACA